GAUGAACGCUGGCGGCGUGCCUAAUACAUGCAAGUCGAGCGAAAAGACGAGGAGCUUGCUCCUCUGACGUUAGCGGCGGACGGGUGAGUAACACGUGGAUAACCUACCUAUAAGACUGGGAUAACUUCGGGAAACCGGAGCUAAUACCGGAUAAUAUAUUGAACCGCAUGGUUCAAUAGUGAAAGACGGUUUUGCUGUCACUUAUAGAUGGAUCCGCGCCGCAUUAGCUAGUUGGUAAGGUAACGGCUUACCAAGGCAACGAUGCGUAGCCGACCUGAGAGGGUGAUCGGCCACACUGGAACUGAGACACGGUCCAGACUCCUACGGGAGGCAGCAGUAGGGAAUCUUCCGCAAUGGGCGAAAGCCUGACGGAGCAACGCCGCGUGAGUGAUGAAGGUCUUCGGAUCGUAAAACUCUGUUAUUAGGGAAGAACAAAUGUGUAAGUAACUAUGCACGUCUUGACGGUACCUAAUCAGAAAGCCACGGCUAACUACGUG
rnacentral:rRNA from 1 species